rnacentral:rRNA from 1 species
AGAGUUUGAUCCUGGCUCAGGAUGAACGCUGGCGGCGUGCUUAACACAUGCAAGUCGAACGAAGUUUUCGGACUUAGUGGCGGACGGGUGAGUAACGCGUGAGGAUCUGGCCUUAGGAGGGGGACAACGACUGGAAACGGUCGCUAAUACCCCAUAUGCCGGGAGGUGAAAUGAUUUUUCGCCUGAGGAUGAACUCGCGUCUGAUUAGCUAGUUGGUGAGGUAAGGGCUCACCAAGGCGACGAUCAGUAGCUGGUCUGAGAGGAUGAUCAGCCACACUGGGACUGAGACACGGCCCAGACUCCUACGGGAGGCAGCAGUGGGGAAUUUUCCGCAAUGGGCGCAAGCCUGACGGAGCAACGCCGCGUGAGGGAGGAAGGCCUUAGGGUUGUAAACCUCUUUUCUCUGGGAAGAAGAUCUGACGGUACCAGAGGAAUAAGCCUCGGCUAACUCCGUGCCAGCAGCCGCGGUAAUAC